ACAGCAGUAGCCACGGUAAUACAGAGGGUGCGAGCGUUAAUCGGAUUUACUGGGCGUAAAGCGUGCGUAGGCGGCUUCUUAAGUCGGAUGUGAAAUCCCUGAGCUUAACUUAGGAAUUGCAUUCGAUACUGGGAAGCUAGAGUAUGGGAGAUGAUGGUAGAAUUCCAGGUGUAGCGGUGAAAUGCGUAGAGAUCUGGAGGAAUACCGAUGGCGAAGGCAGCCAUCUGGCCUAAUACUGACGCUCAGGUGCGAAAGCGUGGGGAGCAAACAGGAUUAGAUACCCGGGUAGUCCCUGUCUCUUAUAC
rnacentral:rRNA from 1 species